rnacentral:rRNA from 1 species
AUUGAACGCUGGCGGCAUGCCUUACACAUGCAAGUCGAACGGCAGCACGGGGGCAACCCUGGUGGCGAGUGGCGAACGGGUGAGUAAUGCAUCGGAACGUACCCGGAAGUGGGGGAUAACGUAGCGAAAGUUACGCUAAUACCGCAUAUUCUGUGAGCAGGAAAGUGGGGGACCGCAAGGCAUCACGAUGUCGGAGCGGCCGAUGUCGGAUUAGCUAGUUGGCGGGGUAAAGGCCCACCAAGGCGACGAUCCGUAGCGGGUCUGAGAGGAUGAUCCGCCACACUGGGACUGAGACACGGCCCAGACUCCUACGGGAGGCAGCAGUGGGGAAUUUUGGACAAUGGGCGCAAGCCUGAUCCAGCCAUGCCGCGUGAGUGAAGAAGGCCUUCGGGUUGUAAAGCUCUUUCGGCGGGGAAGAAAUUGCUCAGGUUAAUACCUUGAGUAGAUGACGGUACCCGCAUAAGAAGCACCGGCUAACUACGUGCCAGCAGCCGCAGUAAAAC